rnacentral:rRNA from 1 species
AUUGAACGCUGGCGGCAUGCCUUACACAUGCAAGUCGAACGGCAGCAUGAUCUAGCUUGCUAGAUUGAUGGCGGGUGGCGAACGGGUGAGUAAUACAUCGGAACGUGCCCUGUAGUGGGGGAUAACUAGUCGAAAGAUUAGCUAAUACCGCAUACGACCUGAGGGUGAAAGUGGGGGACCGCAAGGCCUCAUGCUAUAGGAGCGGCCGAUGUCUGAUUAGCUAGUUGGUGGGGUAAAGGCACACCAAGGCGACGAUCAGUAGCUGGUCUGAGAUGCCAAUCAGCCACACUGGGACUGAGACACGGCCCAGACUCCCACGGGAGGCAGCAGUGGGGAAUUUUGGACAAUGGGCGAAAGCCUGAUCCAGCAAUGCCGCGUGUGUGAAGAAGGCCUUCGGGUUGUAAAGCACUUUUGUCCGGAAAGAAAUGGCUCUGGUUAAUACCUGGGGUCGAUGACGGUACCGGAAGAAUAAGGACCGGCUAACUACGUGCCAGCCGCCGCCGCCGUAA